CUAAGAAUAUUCCGCAAUGGACGAAAGUCUGACGGAGCGACGCCGCGUGGAUGACGAAGGCCGUGAGGUUGUAAAAUCCUUUUGCUGGGGAAGAAUAAGCGCGGGAGGGAAUGCCCGCGUGAUGACAUGAACCGGCGAAUAAGCCCCGGCCAACUACGUGCCAGCAGCCGCGGUAACACGUAGGGGGCAAGCGUUGUUCGGAAUUACUGGGCGUAAAGGGCAUGUAGGCGGUCCUGUAAGCCUGGCGUGAAAGGCUGCGGCUCAACCGUAGCACUGCGCUGGGAACUGCGGGACUGGAGUCACGGAGGGGGAGCUAGAAUUCCGGGUGUAGGGGUGAAAUCUGUAGAUAUCCGGAAGAAUACCAGUGGCGAAGGCGAGCUCCUGGCCGAUGACUGACGCUGAGGUGCGAAAGCGUGGGGAGCAAACAGG
rnacentral:rRNA from 1 species